rnacentral:rRNA from 1 species
UACGAAGGGGGCUAGCGUUGCUCGGAAUCACUGGGCGUAAAGGGUGCGUAGGCGUGUCUUUAAGUCAGGGGUGAAAUCCUGGAGCUCAACUCCAGAACUGCCUUUGAUACUGAAGAUCUUGAGUUCGGGAGAGGUGAGUGGAACUGCGAGUGUAGAGGUGAAAUUCGUAGAUAUUCGCAAGAACACCAGUGGCGAAGGCGGCUCACUGGCCCGAUACUGACGCUGAGGCACGAAAGCGUGGGGAGCAAACAGG